rnacentral:rRNA from 1 species
GACGAACGCUGGCGGCGUGCUUAACACAUGCAAGUCGAGCGGUAAGGCCCUCGGGUACACGAGCGGCGAACGGGUGAGUAACACGUGGGUGACCUCGCCUCUAGCUCUGGGAGUAAGCCUGGGAAACUAGGGUCUAAUACCGGAUAUGACUCCACGGCGCAUGUUGUGGGGUGGAAAGCCUUGUGUGGCUAGAGAUGGGCCCGCGGCCUAUCAGCUU